UUCCGGUUGAUCCUGCCGGAAGUCACUGCUAUUGGGAUUCGAUUAAGCCAUGCGAGUUGAGAGGGUUCGGCCCUCGGCUGACGGCUCAGUAACACGUGGAUAAUCUGCCCUGGGGUGGAGGAUAAUCUCGGGAAACUGAGAAUAAUACUCCAUAGGUCUAGGAGGCUGGAAUGCAUCUAGACUAAAAGCUCCGGCGCCCUAGGAUGAGUCUGCGGGCUAUCAGGUAGUAGUCAGGGUAACGACCUGACUAGCCAAUGACGGAUACGGGUUGUGAGAGCAAUCGCCCGGAGACGAUUUCUGAGACACGAUAUCGGGCCCUACGGGGCGCAGCAGGCGCGAAAACUUCACACUGUGCGAAAGCACGAUGAGGGGAUCCCAAGUGCCAGCUCGUAAGAGUUGGCUGUUUCUUUGUCUAAAAAACAGAGAGAGUAAGAGCUGGGUAAGACGGGUGCCAGCCGCCGCGGUAAUACCUGCAGCUCGAGUGGUGGCCACUAUUAUUGGGCCUAAAACGUCCGUAGCCGGUUUUGCAAAUGCCUGGGUAAAUCGUAUAGCUUAACUAUACGAAUUCCGGGUAGACUACGAAACUUGAGACCGGGAGAAGCUAGAGGUACUCUUGGGGUAGAGGUGAAAUUCUGUAAUCCUAAGGGGACCACCAGUGGCGAAGGCGUCUAGCUAGAACGGGUCUGACGGUGAGGGACGAAGCCCUGGGGCGCGAACGGGAUUAGAUACCCCGGUAGUCCAGGGUGUAAACGCUGCUCGCUUAAUGUUAGUUGGGCUCCGAGCCCGAUUAGUGUUGGAGAGAAGUUGUUAAGCGAGCUGCCUGGGAAGUACGUUCGCAAGGAUGAAACUUAAAGGAAUUGGCGGGGGAGCACAGCAACGGGUGGAGCGUGCGGUUUAAUUGGAUCAACGCCGGU
rnacentral:rRNA from 1 species